rnacentral:rRNA from 1 species
UACGUAGGGGGCUAGCGUUGUCCGGAUUUAUUGGGCGUAAAGAGCGUGUAGGCGGCCAGGUAGGUCUGCUGUGAAAACUCGAGGCUCAACCUCGAGACGUCGGCGGAAACCAUCUGGCUAGAGUCCGGAAGAGGAGAUCGGAAUUCCUGGUGUAGCGGUGAGAUGCGCAGAUAUCAGGAGGAACACCGGUGGCGAAGGCGGAUCUCUGGGCCGAUACUGACGCUGAGGAGCGAAAGCGUGGGGAGCGAACAGG